UUGUAAGACAGUAGGUGAAAUCCCCGGGCUCAACCUGGGAACUGCCAUUGUGACUGCAAGCUAGAGUGCGGCAGAGGGGGAUGGAAUUCCGCGUGUAGCAGUGAAAUGCGUAGAUAUGCGGAGGAACACCGAUGGCGAAGCAAUCCCCUGGGCCUGCACUGACGCUCAUGCACGAAAGCGUGGGGAGCAAACAGGAUUAGAUACCCUGGUAGUCCACGCCCUAAACGAUGUCAACUGGUUGUUGGGUCUUAACUGACUCAGUAACGAAGCUAACGCGUGAAGUUGACCGCCUGGGGAGUACGGCCGCAAGUUGAAACUCAAAUGAAUUGAC
rnacentral:rRNA from 1 species